rnacentral:rRNA from 1 species
AGGGAAUCUUCCACAAUGGACGCAAGUCUGAUGGAGCAACGCCGCGUGAGUGAAGAAGGCUUUCGGGUCGUAAAACUCUGUUAUUGAAGAAGAACGUGUGUGACAGUAACUGGUCAUGCAGUGACGGUAUUCAAUCAGAAAGUCACGGCUAACUACGUGCCAGCAGCCGCGGUAAUACGUAGGUGGCAAGCGUUGUCCGGAUUUAUUGGGCGUAAAGCGAGUGCAGGCGGUCUUUUAAGUCUGAUGUGAAAGCCUUCGGCUUAACCGAAGAAGGGCAUCGGAAACUGGG